rnacentral:rRNA from 1 species
GAGUUUGAUCCUGGCUCAGAACGAACGCUGGCGGCAGGCCUAACACAUGCAAGUCGAGCGCGCCUUUCGGGGUGAGCGGCGGACGGGUUAGUAACGCGUGGGAAUAUACCCUUUGGUACGGAAUAGCCUCUGGAAACGGAGAGUAAUACCGUAUGAGCCCUUUGGGGGAAAGAUUUAUCGCCAAGGGAUUAGCCCGCGUUAGAUUAGGUAGUUGGUGGGGUAAUGGCCUACCAAGCCUACGAUCUAUAGCUGGUUUUAGAGGAUGAUCAGCAACACUGGGACUGAGACACGGCCCCAGACUCCUACGGGAGGCAGCAGUGGGGAAUCUUGGACAAUGGGGGCAACCCUGAUCCAGCCAUGCCGCGUGAGUGAUGAAGGCCUUAGGGUCGUAAAGCUCUUUCGCCUGUGAAGAUAAUGACGGUAGCAGGUAAAGAAACCCCGGCUAACUCCGUGCCAGCAGCCGCGGUAAUACGGAGGGGGUUAGCGUUGUUCGGAAUUACUGGGCGUAAAGCGCACGUAGGCGGAUCGGAAAGUUGGGGGUGAAAUCCCGGGGCUCAACCCCGGAACUGCCUCCAAAACUAUCGGUCUAGAGUUCGAGAGAGGUGAGUGGAAUUCCGAGUGUAGAGGUGAAAUUCGUAGAUAUUCGGAGGAACACCAGUGGCGAAGGCGGCUCACUGGCUCGAUACUGACGCUGAGGUGCGAAAGUGUGGGGAGCAAACAGGAUUAGAUACCCUGGUAGUC